GUAGGGGGUUGGACUAGAUGGCCCAUGUGGUCUCUUCCAACUCUACUAUUCUAUGAUUCUAUGAUUCUAUGAUUCUAUGCCGGGCAACUUCCAGCAUGACAUUGUGGGGCUCCAUUUUAGUUAUGUGCAGAAACGGAUCCCAGGAUGAUUUGGGAGAAGUCGGUGUUACCCAAUUCCUCAUUGAGGAAUACAAAGAGGAAUUCCAGAAAGGAGGGGAAACCAUGUGGAAUGGAAAGCCAUUCCAGAACACAGGGAAAGACAGAAGACCCAUGCCAAACUGGACUUCUUCACUGGACAGGAGGAAAGCCGGAUUUAAUGGCUAGGAUCAAAGGGUAAGGAUAAAAGAGAGCCAGGAAUGAUGUGUAAAUGCUGGUGUGAAGGCUGAGAGGGGCUUCCAAAUGCAUGGCUCCUAGUCCGACCAGUCAAAAGAUAAUGAAUAAUACUUCUGUCCUUUUCUCUUUGCUGGCUUUUCUAUGGUAAGAACCAGAAUGGAAAAAUAUGGCAGGAUAUUUUAGGACCUGUGGUGGUUAAAAAUACCAGAAACAAUCUACAGCUAAGGUCUUUAAUGGUGACCCAAACCCGUAAUCUAGGGUCUGAUGCAUUAUAGGCCAAGAUCCCCAUACAAAAGCGUUCCCAUGAAUUGCUCUGCAGCUUUAUGAGUAAUUUAUACACAGUUUGUGACAACUCUUUUUAUGCAUUACUUUCUGUGCAAUUCCAGACAUCAAGUUUAGAACUUAAUUAUCCAGCCAGCAAAACAGGAAACUGCUGUCUAGAUGAAGGUUUAGAAAGGGUUUAUGCGGGAAAAGAACACAAGGCUCAACAAUAGUAAACAGAAUUAACUUUUAACACAGAGAGCCCCAAGACAUUGAACAGGACAGAAUAAAAAAAAACUGGUAGUUCAAACUAAGCCAUAUUUUGGGGAGCUCAAUUGCCUAUUGCCCAUUUGCCUUGUUUCCUACCAAUAUUAAAACUAUAGUUUUUCCAAGCUUUUCCAAUUAGUUUGCAGUGUUUGUGUUGUUGUUGUUGUUGUUGUUGUUGUUGUUGUGGAUGUGGAUGUGGUUGUUGUUGUGUUUGUGUCUUAAAAUGAUUUUUUAAACUUAUGGUACCCUAAAGUGAACCUGUAGUGAUAUUUUCUUAGGAAGCUUUAUUCAGAAGAAAUUUAGCAUUGCCUUCCUAUAAGGCUGACAAUCUAUGGCUUGCUCAUGAUUGUCUAGUGGGGAUUUGAACCCUAUAUAAUUCUGGCUUUCAGCUGCAGAGUUAGCAUGGAAAAUUACUUAGUGCAUUUGAAGUAUUAUUGUAUCUUCUUGUCAUGUGACAGGAAAUCACCACUAUGUUUUGAACUUUGAGGAACGUUCUAUAAUUCUGUUCAAAACAUGAAAUAGCCAUUCUUAUCAAGAUAGGCUCAGAGUUGGCUGUUUUGCCCAAUGCACUUUCAAAUCUUCCAGGUUGUGGAGCUAAAAGUGAUAUUCCAAUCACUUCCAUUUGCUCUUUUUGAUUAUUUUUUCUUUUUAGAAGUCUCUGGAGACAUAGCUGAUGGGUGGGCAGGCCAGUUAAAAUGUUUUAAGGUGGCUAAAUGGCCCAGAAAGGCGAGAAUUUGACAAUCCCUACUUCCACAAAUUUCCAAACCAGAAAUCCUAUAUGUGAUUAUUCAGCAAUAAGAUCCAUUGAACAGAGUGAAACUAAUUUCACAGUGAACACGCACAGGAUCACUCAUUAAAGCAGAUUACUCUUUGUUGCAAUCUACUCUGUAGCAUAGCUAAUCUUGCCCUCAAUUCUGCCCAACGCUGUGUGCUGUUUCUGAUGCAGACACCCACUGGAACGGACAGACUGUACACACUCAGCAAGGCAGUUAAUGGCAACAGACUGCAAGAAAUACAACUUGACAUUCAGCACAAUUAAUACUAGCACAUGAUAUAUCGGUUACACUCUGUCAUAUGACGGGGACCUCUGUUGCUAGUGUAAUGAGAUUGAUCAAACUGACACCACUGAAUUAAUUGCUAGUGUGUCUUUCCUGGGUUGAAAUCCUGAAAUGCAACAGGUUUAGCUUUCUCUAUACUUUGAAUAUUGGACAAAAUGAUUUGGUCAUGUAAACUCAUCAACAGGAAUACUAUUAGUAUUCUAGAGUAGACCCACUGAAUCAGCUGUUUAAUGGUGAGCCAAGGCGUAGGUAAAUCCAGUACAUUCAGUGGUUCUCAUCAGGAUUAACAAUAGAGUUUAGGGGUGAUUCCAAAAUGUGGGACAUGUCUUACUUUUACCUGAGGCGUC
rnacentral:lncRNA from 1 species